GGAGCUUGCUCCCGGAUGUUAGCGGCGGACGGGUGAGUAACACGUGGGUAACCUGCCUGUAAGACUGGGAUAACUCCGGGAAACCGGAGCUAAUACCGGAUAGUUCCUUGAACCGCAUGGUUCAAGGAUGAAAGACGGUUUCGGCUGUCACUUACAGAUGGACCCGCGGCGCAUUAGCUAGUUGGUGAGGUAACGGCUCACCAAGGCGACGAUGCGUAGCCGACCUGAGAGGGUGAUCGGCCACACUGGGACUGAGACACGGCCCAGACUCCUACGGGAGGCAGCAGUAGGGAAUCUUCCGCAAUGGACGAAAGUCUGACGGAGCAACGCCGCGUGAGUGAUGAAGGUUUUCGGAUCGUAAAGCUCUGUUGUUAGGGAAGAACAAGUGCAAGAGUAACUGCUUGCACCUUGACGGUACCUAACCAGAAAGCCACGGCUAACUACGUGCCAGCAGCCGCGGUAAUACGUAGGUGGCAAGCGUUGUCCGGAAUUAUUGGGCGUAAAGGGCUCGCAGGCGGUUUCUUAAGUCUGAUGUGAAAGCCCCCGGCUCAACCGGGGAGGGUCAUUGGAAACUGGGAAACUUGAGUGCAGAAGAGGAGAGUGGAAUUCCACGUGUAGCGGUGAAAUGCGUAGAGAUGUGGAGGAACACCAGUGGCGAAGGCGACUCUCUGGUCUGUAACUGACGCUGAGGAGCGAAAGCGUGGGGAGCGAACAGGAUUAGAUACCCUGGUAGUCCACGCCGUAAACGAUGAGUGCUAAGUGUUAGGGGGUUUCCGCCCCUUAGUGCUGCAGCUAACGCAUUAAGCACUCCGCCUGGGGAGUACGGUCGCAAGACUGAAACUCAAAGGAAUUGACGGGGGCCCGCACAAGCGGUGGAGCAUGGUGGUUUAAUUCGAAGCAACGCGAAGAACCUUACCAGGUCUUGACAUCCUCUGACAACCCUAGAGAUAGGGCUUUCCCUUCGGGGACAGAGUGACAGGUGGUGCAUGGUUGUCGUCAGCUCGUGUCGUGAGAUGUUGGGUUAAGUCCCGCAACGAGCGCAACCCUUGAUCUUAGUUGCCAGCAUUCAGUUGGGCACUCUAAGGUGACUGCCGGUGACAAACCGGAGGAAGGUGGGGAUGACGUCAAAUCAUCAUGCCCCUUAUGACCUGGGCUACACACGUGCUACAAUGGACAGAACAAAGGGCUGCGAGACCGCAAGGUUUAGCCAAUCCCACAAAUCUGUUCUCAGUUCGGAUCGCAGUCUGCAACUCGACUGCGUGAAGCUGGAAUCGCUAGUAAUCGCGGAUCAGC
rnacentral:rRNA from 2 species